CCUAAAAACUGAUAUCAAACUCAUAUCAGUUUACUGUAGCGGCCGUAACAGGUAUAAAACCUCAUAUUUCAGAAAUCCUACCCAUUUGCGCCUCUCAUUUCUCUCUCCUCUCGCAGCUCGGUUGAGGCAAUUCUUCCUUUAAUCAUUUUUCUCUGCAAAUCUUUCAAAAACCCUACCAUUUUCAUUUCGUAUUUGGUUUUUCUAUUGUUUCUCUCUAUUCUUUGCUUGUGUGAUAUGAAUCUGAAACCGUGGUUUUUCACUUGCGACCACGGAUCGAAGGUUUUUCUCUCCAAAACCAUUGGUUUUCCUCUCGUUUCUGUCUGUUCUCUACUUUUAUAACGCGAAUCUGAAACCCUGCAACCCAAGUUCUUUGCUCGCGACCACAAAUCGAAGGUAUUUCUCUGCAAAACCAUUGGUUUUGCUCUGUUCUCUGCUUCUGUGACGCGAAUCUGAAACCCUAGCUCGGUGGCGAGCACAUCGAAGGUAAGUUCAUACUUAGAACUUUGAUAGCACAACUGCAUUUUUCUCCCCUUUUCCUGAACUUAUUCAGAUGAAUUGUUAGACUAUGAUGGUUGCUUCAUUUCAACACUAAGAACAAAUUAAAUAUUUUUUCCCCUUUGCUAAGGAAGUUUGGAAGUGAUUCAUGUCUUGCUGCAAAUGGGAGGGUGUCCUUCAAUAUACUAAUCUGCAGGAGGUGGUCCAGUGGUUUGAAGCUCGAAGUUGCUAGAAAUCUGUUUGGUGCCAUGUUUUUUUGGCAAAUUUGGACAGAGAGGAACUCAAGACUUGGUGAAGACAAGAAGAGAGAUGUUGGUUUGCUUUGAUUGCAUUCAGUUCCUUGGGCUCAGUAUGGAAGAUUGAUUUUGUUAGUUUUUUUUGUUUGAUCUUUGGCUGGAGUACUUGCUUUGUACCUCCGGUGUGUAUUUUGUAUCAGCAAUAAAAUUGGAAUCUGUGUCCUGUCUGUUACUUGA